AUCGGAUUUGGCGGCAAGAUAGCCCCUUAGAGGAACCUGCCCUGUAAACGAUGAACCACGAGUACCUUACUUUUCUUGGUAAUUCAGUUUGUAUAUCGCUGUUGUCAGUCAGAUUCUGGAGAAUAUUUUCGAACUUGAUAAAUUCAUUGACUUCAAGUAAAGGUGCAGCUUAUAGAAAAGAUAGAGGUGGGUUACAUUUAUAAGAUUAAUACGGAUUGGAUAAAAGAAUUAUUCUAUGAAGGUGGAUUUAACUGUAAAACUAAUAUAAGUUUGGUGAGAGCUCUAUCUUGUGUACACACCGCCCGUC
rnacentral:rRNA from 1 species